rnacentral:lncRNA from 1 species
CAGACACUACACAUUCGUACUAAUGUUGUAAACUGAUUGAUAGGUAGGGCAUUGUUUUAGCGUAUUGUACCAUUGAUUGAUCUUGCUCUAUGUUCCUUAAUUAGGUAUUACAGGAGGAGCAGGGUUAGGAGCAGGAGGACUGGAAGGGGCAGGAAUAGCAGGAGGAGUUGGGGGUGAAGGUACUGCCUGUGCAAUUGUAUGAAAUGACAUCACCAUACAAAGUGACGAAGUUUGUCACGACAAUGUUAUUGAUGACGGUAUGUUUUCAUGCAGGGUAUGCGGAUGGUGUGAAACCACCAACAUAUGGAGGCGUCACUGGAGUAGGCCUUGACAUGCCAGGAGCUACUCCAGGUACACCUGUCGGUGGUGGUCCAGACGGUUCUGCUGUUGUGGUGCCAGCAAGGAAUGCAGGUACUGCUGGAACUCCUCCACCAGGUACAGUGAAAUGCCAAAACAGACAUUUACUUUACACAUAUUUACACAUGUAUGUUUUUGCAGUAGCUGUAAAAGCAUAUGGGAGGAACAGGAAGAAGCGCCUUUUUCACUUACAGUAUAAUUGGUAAUUGCACUCAGUACUGUGCCAUAAUGUGUCACCGCUACAUUUCUUUCAUCCAUUUCCUGCCAACACAUGUUGUUUGUAUUGCUAGUGCUACCAGCUAUUGACCACCUCUAGCUUACAGCCUCCCAGCUGUGGCAGUAUCAUAGUUCACCUCACAGCUUCUGCCUUUUGUAGUCUCUCCAACUCUGCGCCUGUUGAAAGCACAAUGGAUGAAACUGUAACAUGUUGUCUUUUGGCAGAGCCCACGCCUACUGCCGCAAUUGGCGAGACCACAGAGGUCCCACGGCCCAGUAAGACUUGCUGUUUGCAUGAAACUUAUUUGCCACUCUGAUGUAGUAUGGGACAAUCCUCUCAGUAUUUGUGAAUGAGAAUGUUUCUCCCGAAAAAGACACUUAAAAAAAUUGUUUUGCAGGUCAAUGUUUUAUCAAGCAUCCAGAUUUACCAUCCGAAUAAUUACAAUCGGUUAUUCACAAAAGUGUAUCCCUGCCACCUGUUUAGUUAAUUCUUUAUUGGUUUCCCAGGAGUCUCCACUGCUGUAUUUUGAUUUACAUGUAUUUAUUAAACAAUAU